GAAGGAUCAUUACAUUCAGUAGCGUGCUACUGUCGGGGGGGCCAGUUAGUCUGUAUAGUAUCACUACUGUUGAGCAGCUUGGCCCUCUGUCUGGUUCCUUGUCUAUCGCGUACUCAUGUUUCCUCGGCGGGCUUCAACCCGCCGGCUGGACAUUUCUAUAAACCUAUUAAUUGUUAUUCAGCGUCUGAAAAACGAAAUUAUUACAACUUUCAACAACGGAUCUCUUGGUUCUGGCAUCGAUGAAGAACGCAGCGAAAUGCGAUAAGUAGUGUGAAUUGCAGAAUUCAGUGAAUCAUCGAAUCUUUGAACGCACAUUGCGCCCCUUGGUAUUCCAUGGGGCAUGCCUGUUCGAGCGUCAUUUGUACCUUCAAGCUCUGCUUGGUGUUGGGUGUUUUGUCUCGCCUCCGCGCGCAGACUCGCCUUAAAACAAUUGGCAGCCGGCGUAUUGAUUUCGGAGCGCAGUACAUCUCGCGCUUUGCACUCAUAACGACGACGUCCAAAAGUACAUUUUUACACUCUUGACCUCGGAUCAGGUAGGGAUACCCGCUGAACUUAAGCAUAUCAAUAAG
rnacentral:rRNA from 1 species